CCUACGGGUGGCUGCAGUGGGGAAUAUUGGACAAUGGGCGAAAGCCUGAUCCAGCCAUGCCGCGUGUGUGAAGAAGGCCUUCGGGUUGUAAAGCACUUUCAGUGGGGAAGAAAGCCUUGGGGCUAAUACCCUCGAGGAAGGACAUCACCCACAGAAGAAGCACCGGCUAACUCCGUGCCAGCAGCCGCGGUAAUACGGAGGGUGCGCGCGUUAAUCGGAAUUACUGGGCGUAAAGCGCGCGUAGGCGGUCUGAUAAGCCGGUUGUGAAAGCCCCGGGCUCAACCUGGGAACGGCAUCCGGAACUGUCAGGCUAGAGUGCAGGAGAGGAAGGUAGAAUUCCCGGUGUAGCGGUGAAAUGCGUAGAGAUCGGGAGGAAUACCAGUGGCGAAGGCGGCCUUCUGGACUGACACUGACGCUGAGGUGCGAAAGCGUGGGUAGCAAACAGGAUUAGAUACCCCGGUAGUC
rnacentral:rRNA from 1 species